CUUAUUCGUAAUGUUUGUCCAUAGGCUACCAGAGUGAGAACAGACAUUUUCGGAAUAAACGUGGUGAGUGAAAAAUUGAAUGAAAUAGCCCUCUCCCUACCCGGUGUCUUAUUCGGCCGCAACUUUGAAUGCAUUGUUUGUUGACAACCUUGUUAUUUACGAAGUUUUUGGUACAGAUUCUCGUUGGAACGUUCCACAAAUUAUACCAACCCCAGGCAAACCUUUCUCUGAAUGCCUCAAUGACUGUAAAUGAAGGUAUGCAUAGUAGACGACUMGCUCUGGUCCAUGCGCAUGCGUUGGAUGUACGCGCAGCUUGCAGUGCAUGUGCGUGGACCAGAGUUUGAUAACAAACUUGGUUAAUCAUUUGUAAGACUCUAGGCCGAGAACUAUGACCUCACUUUGCUCAUACCAACCAGUGGGAGAAACACAUUUCAGAUCCUUCCAGAAGUUGAAACUGCUCUGAGGAAGAGGUCCACAAGUGGUUGAAGGACUCCAGAGAACAUCAGACUUGMCUUGGAGAAAAAUACCUAUCCCAAUGCUGACAGGAUUAACAAGUAUAGAGGUACAGGGUCCUGGAGCAAAAUUGAGGCAAAUUAGGGUUAAGUGCCUUGGUCAAGGACACAUCGACAGAGUUUUCACCUUGACAGCUCAGGUGGACCUAAAAUGCCAGCAUAAUACAAGGUCCAGUUCGGCCAUAAGUACCAACAACACAUGUUGUGGUGCAAUAAGGUACUUCAUCCCGAAGAGGUCUAUUCAUACCCAACGAAGAGAAUCAAGAUCUCCAUAUGAAAGAAAGGUUACCUCUUUCAUGGGUGUCUAAGGAAUAACGACAACCACAGUCUGACAGGUGCUGAAGAGGUGAAAUGUGUCAGCGGACACCAUUGAGAAAUUGACAAAGCUGUUUGAAAUAGGCCACUCUCUUUCAUCAGCUCUAAAAAUGAUCAAAUAUGAGUUGCAAGUGGAGUAUGGAGACAACCAUGUGCAUGCCUCUGUGGACUGCUCCAUUAGCCCCACCUUCAAUUCUGCUACAAAUUGUACCACAAGCUUUUCAAAGAAGCAUGUGUUGCAUCGUAUGUAGAGAAGAAGAUUGAUGAUUCUAACGAGAAUCUGGAUAACUGCAACGAAGAAGAAUGUUCACCCGAAUGCAAUGUUUUCGACUGUGGCAACGCUUCUGAGGACACUGUUGAAAUCGAGUGUGCUCCCGUUUCUGUUGUAAACGGCUCAGGUACAUCUGGAAAACCAGCUGAGGGGGUGACGUUAGAGGAAGACUGGAUGGAGAUCUUUGAAGACCUCAAAAAGAAGAUGAGGGAGGAUCCUGUGAGUUUCAGGCYUAAAGUAGCAUCCUUUGUUUCCAGCUUCAAGRAGAUGAAAACAGACAGUGAACUCAUAGYCACUCUAUCAAACUUUGGCAAAACCAAAYCUGGACCAACAGCAAAGUUUCACCGGGGACGGGCACGMCCYGCAAAGWGCUCCAUAGGAGAGCGUGGACAUGGCACAUGCUGCUGGGAGAGGAAAGCACCCCAUUGAAUGUCUCAGUGUGUGGAAUAACACAUGGACAUUGGGAGUACUACACAAAAAAAGCAAGUCAACAUCAGUGGCCCCCUGURCCCAUCAUCCACCUGCUCACCAUCUGUGACCUUCAGUGCACUAGCGCUCUGCCCUCAAACACCCCCCAUCUGCCUACCAGCUCUAGGUCUCCUCCGCCUUGAACAAAACCAGUGGCUAUUUCAAUGCAUUGUGGMCUCUACAACACCAGAACMAGUGGCUAUUUCAGUAUUGCMUUCUUGCCUUUUGGUUUUACGUUCAUUCAAUUUAAGACGUUUCUGCAAUUUCAUAUGUUUUGGAAAUUGAUUCCAUGUUGAUGAACCAUCAGACUUUAAAAAGCUGUUCUUCCAACCCAGUUGUAGACCUACAGGCCUAUACUAUCACUGAACCAAAACAGUAGUUGUCAUGACUUUGCCGAGUCUUAAAUAUAAAAUGCCUAUUUAUAUAUUUUUUUAUACCGGUGUACACUACCAUUCAAAAGUUUGGGGUCACUUAGAAAUGUCCUUGUUUCUGAAAGAAAAGCCACAAAAUUGUAUAUAACAUCAAAUUGAUCAGAAAUGCARUAUAGACAUUGUUUAUGUUAUAAAUAACUAUUGUAGCUGGAAACGGCAGRUUUUUUAUAGAAUAUCUACAUAGGCGUACAGGCCCGUUAUCAGCA